UUAAUUUUAGUUUAUUAAAAUAUAUUAUUUACAAUAAUAAGAAAUAAUUAAGUUAUAAAUUAAA
rnacentral:tRNA from 1 species